rnacentral:rRNA from 1 species
CCGGCACGGGUGAGUAACACGUAUCCAACCUGCCGUCUACUCUUGGCCGGCCUUCUGAAAGGAAGAUUAAUCCAGGAUGGCAUCAUGAGUUCACAUGUCCGCAUGAUUAAAGGUAUUUCCGGUAGACGAUGGGGAUGCGUUCCAUUAGAUAGUAGGCGGGGUAACGGCCCACCUAGUCAACGAUGGAUAGGGGUUCUGAGAGGAAGGUCCCCCACAUUGGAACUGAGACACGGUCCAA